UUAAGCGACUAAGCGUACACGGUGGAUGCCCUGGCAGUCAGAGGCGAUGAAGGACGUGCUAAUCUGCGAAAAGCGUCGGUAAGGUGAUAUGAACCGUUAUAACCGGCGAUGUCCGAAUGGGGAAACCCAGUGCAAUUCGUUGCACUAUCGUUAACUGAAUACAUAGGUUAACGAGGCGAACCGGGGGAACUGAAACAUCUAAGUACCCCGAGGAAAAGAAAUCAACCGAGAUUCCCCCAGUAGCGGCGAGCGAACGGGGAGCAGCCCAGAGUCUGAAUCAGCUUGUGUGUUAGUGGAACGGUCUGGAAAGUCCGACGGUACAGGGUGAUAGUCCCGUACACCAAAAUGCACAGGUUGUGAACUCGAAGAGUAGGGCGGGACACGUGGUAUCCUGUCUGAAUAUGGGGGGACCAUCCUCCAAGGCUAAAUACUCCUGACUGACCGAUAGUGAACCAGUACCGUGAGGGAAAGGCGAAAAGAACCCCGGCGAGGGGAGUGAAAAAGAACCUGAAACCGUGUACGUACAAGCAGUGGGAGCACCUUCGGGUGUGACUGCGUACCUUUUGUAUAAUGGGUCAGCGACUUAUAUUCUGUAGCAAGGUUAACCGUAUAGGGGAGCCGCAGGGAAACCGAGUCUUAACUGGGCGUUAAGUUGCAGGGUAUAGACCCGAAACCCGGUGAUCUAGCCAUGGGCAGGUUGAAGGUUGGGUAACACUAACUGGAGGACCGAACCGACUAAUGUUGAAAAAUUAGCGGAUGACUUGUGGCUGGGGGUGAAAGGCCAAUCAAACCGGGAGAUAGCUGGUUCUCCCCGAAAGCUAUUUAGGUAGCGCCUCGUGAACUCAUCUUCGGGGGUAGAGCACUGUUUCGGCUAGGGGGUCAUCCCGACUUACCAACCCGAUGCAAACUACGAAUACCGAAGAAUGUUAUCACGGGAGACACACGGCGGGUGCUAACGUCCGUCGUGAAGAGGGAAACAACCCAGACCGCCAGCUAAGGUCCCAAAGUCAUGGUUAAGUGGGAAACGAUGUGGGAAGGCACAGACAGCCAGGAUGUUGGCUUAGAAGCAGCCAUCAUUUAAAGAAAGCGUAAUAGCUCACUGGUCGAGUCGGCCUGCGCGGAAGAUGUAACGGGGCUAAACCAUGCACCGAAGCUGCGGCAGCGACACUAUGUGUUGUUGGGUAGGGGAGCGUUCUGUAAGCCUGCGAAGGUGUGCUGUGAGGCAUGCUGGAGGUAUCAGAAGUGCGAAUGCUGACAUAAGUAACGAUAAAGCGGGUGAAAAGCCCGCUCGCCGGAAGACCAAGGGUUCCUGUCCAACGUUAAUCGGGGCAGGGUGAGUCGACCCCUAAGGCGAGGCCGAAAGGCGUAGUCGAUGGGAAACAGGUUAAUAUUCCUGUACUUGGUGUUACUGCGAAGGGGGGACGGAGAAGGCUAUGUUAGCCGGGCGACGGUUGUCCCGGUUUAAGCAUGUAGGCUGGUUGUCCAGGCAAAUCCGGAUAAUCAAGGCUGAGGUGUGAUGACGAGGCACUACGGUGCUGAAGUAACAAAUGCCCUGCUUCCAGGAAAAGCCUCUAAGCAUCAGGUAACAUUAAAUCGUACCCCAAACCGACACAGGUGGUCAGGUAGAGAAUACCAAGGCGCUUGAGAGAACUCGGGUGAAGGAACUAGGCAAAAUGGUGCCGUAACUUCGGGAGAAGGCACGCUGGUGUGUAGGUGAAGUCCCUGCGGAUGGAGCUGAGACCAGUCGAAGAUACCAGCUGGCUGCAACUGUUUAUUAAAAACACAGCACUGUGCAAACACGAAAGUGGACGUAUACGGUGUGACGCCUGCCCGGUGCCGGAAGGUUAAUUGAUGGGGUUAUCCGUAAGGAGAAGCUCUUGAUCGAAGCCCCGGUAAACGGCGGCCGUAACUAUAACGGUCCUAAGGUAGCGAAAUUCCUUGUCGGGUAAGUUCCGACCUGCACGAAUGGCGUAAUGAUGGCCAGGCUGUCUCCACCCGAGACUCAGUGAAAUUGAACUCGCUGUGAAGAUGCAGUGUACCCGCGGCAAGACGGAAAGACCCCGUGAACCUUUACUAUAGCUUGACACUGAACAUUGAGCCUUGAUGUGUAGGAUAGGUGGGAGGCUUUGAAGCGUGGACGCCAGUCUGCGUGGAGCCAACCUUGAAAUACCACCCUUUAAUGUUUGAUGUUCUAACGUUGGCCCCUUACCGGGGUUGCGGACAGUGUCUGGUGGGUAGUUUGACUGGGGCGGUCUCCUCCCAAAGCGUAACGGAGGAGCACGAAGGUUAGCUAAUCCUGGUCGGACAUCAGGAGGUUAGUGCAAUGGCAUAAGCUAGCUUGACUGCGAGCGUGACGGCGCGAGCAGGUGCGAAAGCAGGUCAUAGUGAUCCGGUGGUUCUGAAUGGAAGGGCCAUCGCUCAACGGAUAAAAGGUACUCCGGGGAUAACAGGCUGAUACCGCCCAAGAGUUCAUAUCGACGGCGGUGUUUGGCACCUCGAUGUCGGCUCAUCACAUCCUGGGGCUGAAGUAGGUCCCAAGGGUAUGGCUGUUCGCCAUUUAAAGUGGUACGCGAGCUGGGUUUAGAACGUCGUGAGACAGUUCGGUCCCUAUCUGCCGUGGGCGCUGGAGAAUUGAGGGGGGCUGCUCCUAGUACGAGAGGACCGGAGUGGACGCAUCACUGGUGUUCGGGUUGUCAUGCCAAUGGCACUGCCCGGUAGCUAAAUGCGGAAGAGAUAAGUGCUGAAAGCAUCUAAGCACGAAACUUGCCCCGAGAUGAGUUCUCCCUGAGACUUUAAGUCUCCUGAAGGAACGUUAAAGACGAUGACGUUGAUAGGCCGGGUGUGUAAGCGCAGCGAUGCGUUGAGCUAACCGGUACUAAUGAACCGUGAGGCUUAACCUU
rnacentral:rRNA from 1 species